rnacentral:rRNA from 1 species
CGAGAUCGAGAGAUGGAGCAAAUCCCAAAAAUAAACGUCCCAGUUCGGACUGUAGUCUGCAACCCGACUACACGAAGCUGGAAUCGCUAGUAAUCGCGGAUCAGAAUGCCGCGGUGAAUACGUUCCCGGGUCUUGUACACACCGCCCGUCACACCAUGGGAGUCAGUAACGCCCGAAGUCAGUGACCUAACCGAAAGGGAGGAGCUGCCGAAGGCGGGACGGAUGACUGGGGUGAAGUCGUAACAAGGUACC